AUGCCAGUCAGUCGGGGGGGACUUGACAAACCCCCAGCCGAGGAUGAGGCCCCGCAAGGAGGGACCUCCUUUUACAACUUGGUGUCCCCAGUGCGGGCCUCGGCAGCUGUAGAACCGAAAAAGUUCUAUUUUCCUGUUGAGUAUUAAGUCUACAGUUAGAAGCAGGACUUUAUCCUCUUUUUUUAAAGACUUUAUUCUUGAUAUGCUUGGACGGAGACUCUGCUUGUAAACGAGUCUGUUUAAAACUAAUAACAGCCACUCCCCCGAUGGAUCUUCGGGCGAUCGGACAUCCUUGGAGUCCGUUCAGGAUGACACGCCACAGCCAGACUCCACCGUCUUAAAGGAGAGAAAACAUGACACGGGGGGGAGCAAGCUGGCCUGGGGCCCCCCGGCCUUGCUCUCGGGGCUCCCCCUCAGAACCGAGGGCAGUGGGUCUCCUCAUCCGGGCUGGCGCGUGGCCCCCGUCUCCUGCUGCAGCUCCUGUCUCUGCCGUGAAGCGCUUCCUGCAGAGGACACAGCGCAGCGCUCACAGCGGUCUCUCUGUGGCAUUUCUGGAAUGUCCUUCCCCACUUCUGCUGUUCUUUUUUCUUAGCAUGAAGGCAGGGGAAUAAAGAGGCCUAUUUAUACUGGUC